rnacentral:rRNA from 1 species
ACGAACGCUGGCGGCGUGCUUAACACAUGCAAGUCGAACGGAAAGGCCCUGCUUUUGUGGGGUGCUCGAGUGGCGAACGGGUGAGUAACACGUGAGUAACCUGCCCUUGACUUUGGGAUAACUUCAGGAAACUGGGGCUAAUACCGGAUAGGAGCUCCUGCUGCAUGGUGGGGGUUGGAAAGUUUCGGCGGUUGGGGAUGGACUCGCGGCUUAUCAGCUUGUUGGUGGGGUAGUGGCUUACCAAGGCUUUGACGGGUAGCCGGCCUGAGAGGGUGACCGGCCACAUUGGGACUGAGAUACGGCCCAGACUCCCACGGGAGGCAGCAGUGGGGAAUAUUGCACAAUGGGCGGAAGCCUGAUGCAGCAACGCCGCGUGCGGGAUGACGGCCUUCGGGUCGUAAACCGCUUUCGCCUGUGACGAAGCGUGAGUGACGGUAAUGGGUAAAGAAGCACCGGCUAACUACGUG